AGCUCUUCGGAACUUGACUUAGUGGCGAACGGGUGAGUAACGCGUGAGGAACCUGCCUUUCAGCGGGGGACAACAGUUGGAAACGACUGCUAAUACCGCAUGAUGCUUUUGGGAGACAUCUCCUGGAAGCCAAAGCUUUAUGUGCUGAAAGAUGGCCUCGCGUCUGAUUAGCUAGUUGGUGAGGUAACGGCUCACCAAGGCGACGAUCAGUAGCCGGUCUGAGAGGAUGAACGGCCACAUUGGGACUGAGAUACGGCCCAGACUCCUACGGGAGGCAGCAGUGGGGAAUAUUGGGCAAUGGGGGAAACCCUGACCCAGCAACGCCGCGUGAAGGAAGAAGGCCUUCGGGUUGUAAACUUCUUUUACCAGGGACGAAGGACGUGACGGUACCUGGAGAAAAAGCAACGGCUAACUACGUGCCAGCAGCCGCGGUAAUACGUAGGUUGCAAGCGUUGUCCGGAUUUACUGGGUGUAAAGGGCGUGUAGGCGGAGAUGCAAGUUGGGAGUGAAAUCCAUGGGCUCAACCCAUGAACUGCUCUCAAAACUGUAUCCCUUGAGUAUCGGAGAGGCAAGCGGAAUUCCUAGUGUAGCGGUGAAAUGCGUAGAUAUUAGGAGGAACACCAGUGGCGAA
rnacentral:rRNA from 1 species